CCACAUCUCGAGCCAAAGAACUGGCAGCUUAAAGCAACAGGCUCAUAGCAGUUCAAAAAACUAUCCAGACCUGCCCCUACCAACAACAUAACAUCCAGUGUCGCACCCAAGGCUCAAACGACUCAUCUUUUGAUAUUAAUGCAUAUGUCUAUGUAUGUAAUAUAUGUAUGUAUCUAUAUACUUACGUCGGUACGCAAACUGUCGAUGUUCUUCAAAAAACAAUAACCAUUGCUUACUUACAACUGCCUUAUGUAAUAUAUCCGCAUGCUCGAGAGCCUACCAAACAAUGUUACUAUUU